UACAGAGGUCUCAAGCGUUGUUCGGAUUCAUUGGGCGUAAAGGGCGCGUAGGCGGCGGGGUAAGUCGGGCGUGAAAUCUCAGGGCUCAACCCUGAAAACUGCACUCGAUACUGCUCUGCUUGAGGACUGGAGAGGAGACUGGAAUUCACGGUGUAGCAGUGAAAUGCGUAGAUAUCGUGAGGAAGACCAGUGGCGAAGGCGGGUCUCUGGACAGUUCCUGACGCUG
rnacentral:rRNA from 1 species